rfam:Triticum aestivum genome assembly, contig: Triticum_aestivum_CS42_TGACv1_scaffold_642825_T_5DL-0.295264_1AL-0.229443
CGUAUACUCCCUCCGUCCGAAAAAGCUUACCCCAAGCUUGUUUCUUAAGUGGAUGUAUCUAGCACUAUAGAUACAUCCAUUUGAGGACAAUCUUUUUCGGACGGAGGGAGUAUUUU